UACGUAGGGGGCAAGCGUUGUCCGGAAUCAUUGGGCGUAAAGAGCGUGUAGGCGGCCCGGUAAGUCCGCUGUGAAAGUCCAGGGCUCAACCCUGGAAUGCCGGUGGAAACUGUCGGGCUAGAGUCCGGAAGAGGCGAGUGGAAUUCCUGGUGUAGCGGUGAAAUGCGCAGAUAUCAGGAGGAACACCAAUGGCGAAGGCAGCUCGCUGGGACGGUACUGACGCUGGAGACGCGAAAGCGUGGGGAGCAAACAGGG
rnacentral:rRNA from 1 species